rnacentral:rRNA from 1 species
UACGUAGGGGGCUAGCGUUGCUCGGAAUCACUGGGCGUAAAGCGCACGUAGGCGGAUCGUUAAGUCAGGGGUGAAAUCCUGGAGCUCAACUCCAGAACUGCCUUUGAUACUGGCGACCUUGAGUUCGGGAGAGGUGAGUGGAGCUGCGAGUGUAGAGGUGAAAUUCGUAGAUAUUCGCAAGAACACCAGUGGCGAAGGCGGCUCACUGGCCCGAUACUGACGCUGAGGUGCGAAAGCGUGGGGAGCAAACAGG